UGGCGGACGGGUGAGAAACACGUGGGUAACCUGCCUCAAAGUGGGGGAUAGCCUUCCGAAAGGAAGAUUAAUACCGCAUAACAUAAGAGAAUCGCAUGAUUUUCUUAUCAAAGAUUUAUUGCUUUGAGAUGGACCCGCGGCGCAUUAGCUAGUUGGUAAGGUAACGGCUUACCAAGGCAACGAUGCGUAGCCGACCUGAGAGGGUGAUCGGCCACAUUGGAACUGAGACACGGUCCAGACUCCUACGGGAGGCAGCAGUGGGGAAUAUUGCGCAAUGGGGGAAACCCUGACGCAGCAACGCCGCGUGGGUGAUGAAGGUCUUCGGAUUGUAAAGCCCUGUUUUCUGGGACGAUAAUGACGGUACCAGAGGAGGAAGCCACGGCUAACUACGUGCCAGCAGCCGCGGUAAU
rnacentral:rRNA from 1 species